rnacentral:rRNA from 2 species
CCUAGCUGUGUUGGCUUUCUAACCCGCACCACUUAUCGUGGUGGGAGACAGUGUCAGGCGGGCAGUUUGACUGGGGCGGUCGCCUCCUAAAAGGUAACGGAGGCGCUCAAAGGUUCCCUCAGAAUGGGUGGAAAUCAUUCAUAGAGUGUAAAGGCAUAAGGGAGCUUGACUGCGAGACCUACAAGUCGAGCAGGGUCGAAAGACGGACUUAGUGAUCCGGUG